rnacentral:lncRNA from 1 species
GGAAACCUUGAAUAAACUGCUUUGCAGCAGCCACCACGGCCCCUGGCUCUUUUUCUAAUUCCUUAUACUUGCCUUUAGGCUUGCUUGUUCCUUUAGGUCUUUACUGCAUCAUUCCAGAGAGACCUUCUGUGCCAUACGCUACAGUUCCACCCCCUCUUAUGCCGCUUAGCACUCACCAUUGCCCAACAUAGGAGCUGUUUUAUGUCUUCCUCUUGAUUCUCACUGUUUCCUGCUUUGGAGCAUAAGCUGGACAGAGAAUACCAUCGGAGCUCCUCUGGAACAUGUCCUUGUCUUCUCAGAGUGUGAAGUGUGUGUGUGACAGUGCUUUUCUGAGGACUCAGGUGACCUGGAGGCUGGAGAACAGCAUGGAGCAAGGAAAACAAAGACGAUGUGCUGGAGUGUAUGUUGCUUUCAUAAUUAUGUGAAAGAAAAUGUAGAGAAAUUUGAAAGGAGAACUGGUUAUCAGUAGUGCCAUCCUGCUCAAAUAUCUUCAAAUACACACCACCAUCCAUGUGUGGGUUGAUUAAGGAGCUGACGUUCAUUAGAUCUGCAGUCUCCUGACCUGAUGUGCAUCAGAAUCACUGGGAGAACAAACAAACAAAAAUGAAUCCAAAACAAGCAACGAACAGACAGAUUCUCAAGUCUUGCCAAGUCCAAAGAUUGAUUUGGUGGAGAAAUUGUACUUUGAAAGCUGCCCAGAGAAAAGAUGGCUAUCCCGCCCAAUGUUUGGCCCCCUCCUGCAAAGGCCAAAACAUUCGUUGGGUUUUUCCUUUACUGUCUAAAUAAAGAAGAAUUUGUGCACAGUCUGAGUGGGUCAGGAUUUCAUCCCAUGGCCAUGUGGGAGCUCCAAGAUUUGAUCUCCGGGCUGACCUGUGCAAGCAUCCUGCCUCAUUCCAUUUGGCUGAAGCUCCUGCUCCACUUCUUGCUGGGCUGUGACCAUUCAGGAUCCCCCACUGUCCACCAGAGUCAGCACCUAAAAUGAGUGGGUCCUACAACCAGUGCUUGAGAGCACGGCCUCGGGACCAGAGCACCUGCCUUUCCAUCCAGUCCCUGCUUCUCAUGAGGAAGGUGUCCUUGGGGUGACACUACGAAAAGAGAUCAUCUGUAAAGGAGGUAAUAGGGUGGCCUGUGAUAUCUAUGUUCCUGUUACCAUGAAGAGAUAAUAUGAAGUUUUGGGAGAGAAAAUCUUUUUCUGUCUGGUGUUUUUCAAAAUUUUGAUGAUGGACUCACAUCAAGGAUGAAGAGCUUUGAUGUCAUUUGAACACCACCACCAUCACCACCACCAGCAUCAACAAACAAACAAGCAAACAAGCGUGAACUCAGGAGCCCUGUGGCCCAGCCUCCAGUCCAUUUCCUCACUGUGAUCUGGCUAAGUCACCUCCCCUCCACCUCAGUUCAGUCACCUACACAACAGGAAUGGUGGCUCCUGGCGUGAAAAGUUCUUAGGAGCAUUCAGCAUGAUGCUGUGUGGAGCACUUGGAAACUGCGUGUGCAUCACCUCAUAUUUCUGGCCACAGGUCAUUCAGACAUCUGCCCUUUGCCCUGGAGGAGAACCACUAGGGACUUGUGCCCAUAAGCACCAAUUCUGGCUUUUACCCUACCCAUCCUUUGCCAUCCCAAACUAUGCCAUCAACAAAUUCUAGAAAUCAAGUUAGAAAUGCUGUUCCCACGAGGGUCUCUGUGGUCUCUCAGAACAACAAUCAGCUGGCCCUGCUGGGCAGAUGUUGCCCAAUCCUAACCCACACUUAGCUAUCAACUUAAUCAUUCUCAACUAAAAACACCUACCUGAACACUUUUAGGGGUUAAGAAUAGUAUAAUCUCACUUAGCCAUUUGCAUUUUUUCUUCUUUUUACAAAAAGAAAUUUAUCUUUUUUUUUUUUUGAGACGGAGUCUUGCUCUGUUGCCCAGGUUGGAGUGCAGUGGCGCAAUCUUGGCUCACUGCAAGCUCCGCCUCCUGGGUUAGCGCCAUUCUCCUGCCUCAGCCUCCCGAGUAGCUGGGACUACAGGUGCCUGCCACCACGCCUGGCUAAUUUUUUUGUAUUUUUAGUAGAGACGGGGUUUCACCGUGUUAGUCAGGAUCGUCUUGAUCUCCUGACAUCGUGAUUCGCCCUCCUCAGCCUCCCAAAGUGCUGGGAUUACAGGCGUGAGCCACUGCGCUCUGCCAAGAAUAGUAUAAUCUCACUUAGCCAUUUGUAUUUUUUCUUCUUUUUACAAAAAGAAAUUUAUCUCAUUAUUAUGUUUAAUCAGUUUCUUGAGGUAUAACUUAAGUGUGCUAAAAUUUGCUCUUUUUAGUGUACAGGUCUAGGAUUUUUGAGAAACACAUAUUCAUAUGUGACCACCCCCAUGAUCAACAUAUGGAACAGUCAUUUGCCACCCAAAAUUACCUUGUGCCCUUUUGUUGUCAGACUCUUCUUUCUCCAGACCCUGGCAACCACUGAUGGAUUUUCUGUCCCUAUAGUUUUGCCUUUUCCAGAAUGUUCUGCAAAUGUAAUCAUUUAGUAUGUAGCCUUUUAAGUCUGAUUUCUUUCACUCUGCAUAAUGCAUUUGAGAUUCACCCACGUUGUUACCUGUUACAAUGGUUUGUUCCUUUUUAUUGCGGAGUAAUAUUCCCUUGCAUGGAUGUACCACAGUUUGGGUAACCAUUCAACAGUCAAAUGAGAUUGAAUUUGUUUCCAUUUUUUGGUGAUUAUAAAUACAGCUAUAAACAUUUGUGAAAGUGUUUUGUAUGUACAUACAUUUUUCUUAGACAUUUGGUUUUAAGAGAUGUAUUUAGGUUUAGUUCCAGAUGAACAAUGAGAGACUGAAAGACUUAAGGGACCCCUGAGAAGAGCAGAGGGAAUAUUCCCUGAGGCAGCCAUCAGUCAGACCUGGCCCUGUCAUUUAAAUGUGGGCUAGUGGUAGCAAGAUGCUGUUAUUAUUUUCACCAAGGACAUUUUUUGAGUAGCAAUUAAAAUGAAGUCUAUUUCUCUGAGCCCCUGGAGAAGAACAUAAGCACAUGAUGGUAACCAUCAAUUUAGUGGGCCUAACGUUAUCUAGGUGGUUAAUGUUUCCAUGGCUUCUGGCAAUUCCCAGUGUAAGUCACCUGUGUAUACUGGGUGGAUGCUUCUUUAAAUUAAAGAUAAGCUGUUCAGCUUAAUAACAGCUAAGGGAGAAUAUAGAGCCCGUGGGUGAACUGUUUACUAACAAGCUUCUUCAGGGUCAUUCAACUUGAAUGAACUCUCUUUUAGGCUAACUUGGUUUGUGGAGGGAAUGCAUGUUUCUUAGUUAAAAUAGUUACAUUGGAAUCCCAACUGUGCACAGGACUUCAAGGGUAAUUAUGAACCCCCACUGCAGAUUUCAGGCUUAGCACCAAUUCUCCUUGCUUUCUACUUGUAUCCAUCAAAAACAGAAGUUACGAUGGAGUUACAGCUAUACUUGUAAGGGUCUCAGUGAACCUCUCCCACUAUUCUGCCUUAUCACCUUUGGGUUCCUGUGUUCUCUACCCCCUCCCCACUGCAUGUUUUCAUUCAGCCAGGAAACAUUUACUGCCUGCCUGGUAUCAAGCCCUUGCAUGAGGGUGGGAGCUCAUAAAGAUGACUACACUAGAGAAUCAUUUGACCUUUCUCAUGUAGACCUCAACAUGAAUGAGUUUCAAUGCUGAUAGGGCAAUCAUUACCUUCAGACAAAUUUUCAGGAACAGCCAAGACUAGAGAAUGUAUGGCUAAAACACAGCACUAUGCAUUUAUAAUAGUCAUGGGUUCUCCUGUUUUAAUUGUACAUGGAGAAUAUUUCAGCUUUAUUUGUAUGGGCUGCUCUUAUGUAAAACAUUAUUUCAAUGAGGAAAUGUGUUUGGGGUUCUAAAUGACUAACUUACAAACACAACUUUGAAUAAAGUCCAUGAAUAAUUUGAGGAUUUAUGUCUAUCAAUGGCUGAUUUACCAGAUUGUUGGCUUUGGGUUUAUUGGUAUCCAUGUUGAGAGGCAUCAGAUCAUCCAAGGUUUAAGUUUCGUCCUGACCACUGACUAGCAUUGAGACCUUAAUGGGAUUAAUAACAAUGAUAAUGAUAGUGACAAGAGCUAGCUUUUCAUGAGCACAGUGGCUAAGAGAGUUAGCAUCAGUUCUAGCUGCUUUCAUUGACAUAGAUGUAAAUGGGGAGGGAAACCAUGACUAGACUCAAAUCUCUGCUCUAACGUCUGAUACCUGAAUAUCACUUUGCAAGCCACGUCAUCUCUCUAAGUUGUAGCUCUUUGUCUGAAAAAUGUGGAUAGUUAAUACAUUAUAAAUAAAUUAUUAUUACAUUAAUACACAGAAAUUCAUAAUGCUAUUGUGGGGAUUACAUGAGAUGAUGGAAGUAUUUAAUCUAGUGUCUUGUAUAUGGCAAAUAAAAAAUAAAUAUUCACUGCUGUUAAU